GGCACACAUACCCCUGUGAAUGCCAGAGGCAAAGAAGAGCCUCAAGCCACAGGCUAUAGCUGACCUGGCACCCUGGGCACAGCAGGCAGAUUCAGGGGAGGUACAGCCAUACUGAGAUAGAGGCAGGGCUGGGCCCUGGUUUCUCCACUCCACAGAGAAUGUGCAUUGUAGGCUUCAUGGAAACAGAGACUGUAUGUUAUCCACUUCCGUACUUUCAGCAUCCAGCACAGGGCCUGGCACAGAAUAAAUGCUUUGGGGCGCCUGACACUGAUCACACUACCCCUGCCCUCCUGAGGCUCCACAUCUAUGUAUCCCAUGGAAACCAGAGUCACAAAUGGAGACAGAUUCAGAGACUCAGCCUGAAAGGAGACAGAAGAGGCCGAGAGCUACAGGUUGCAUGGCCCAGGAUGGCAAAGACUCCACGGUUAAUAUCACAGCAGCUGGACAGAGACAAGAGCAGAGUCAGGCAUCCUGGGCUGGCAGCUGCCUGUUGGGACUACACAGCCCCAAGCCAGCUCCCUGUCUCCCUAGGCAGAACACACGUUGGCAGAGACACUUGCUUUCUCCUCUGGCUGUUUCAAGCACUGGCCUAAGAGGUGGGGACUUGGGAGGAAGAGAACUGACAUUGCGGAGCCCAAGGAAGCGACCAGAGGAAGCUAAGUCCCCGGAGGAAGUCAUGAGGACCACACUUUCCAGCUCCCCCAUCCUCUUCUUUCAGCCCCAAAUCCCACGAUCCACUGGAAACAUGAGCACUUGGAUUGCUGGAAGGCCCAUUAACAUUCAGCUCAUACAAAACUGGCUUUGCAGCCAGGUGCGGUGGCUCACACCUGUAAUCCCAACACUUUGGGAAGCUGAGGCAGGCGGAUCACCUGAGGUUAGGCAUUCAAGACCAGCCAGGCCAACAAUGCGAAACCCUGUCUCUACCAAAAAUACAAAAAAAAAUUAGCCAGGUGUGGUGGCGUGCACAUGUAAUCCCAGCUACUUGGGAGGCUGAGGCAGAAGAAUCACUUGAACCCAGGAGGCAGAGGUUGCAGUGAGCCGAGAUGGCACCACUGCACUCUAGCUUGUCAGAGUGAGACUCUGUCUCAAAAAAACAAAACAAAAUUGGCUUUGCAGACAGGACACUGGGCCCCAGAGUCCACCCAUCCUCCAAGGCCCAGACCAAACUCCCCCAUCUCCAUGACACAUUUUCCAAGUCCUCGGGGCCUGUAACCCAUAGUUAGCAAUCAGAUGCCUCCUGUCACGCAUUGUCUAAUAACUGCUUUGAACAUUUCCAACUUGGAAAUCAAGUCCCUGGAGGAAGAGCCCCAGGUCACGGUGCUGAAUGCACCCUACAGCGGGUCCUCCAGGAUUCUGGCUGGCAAGCCCCAGCCCUUUCCCUCCUCCCUCCCAUCCUCAAUCCCACACUGCUCCCUGCUUGCCUGUGUCCUGAAAGCCCAGGCCUCGAUGUUUCCCAUUUGUAGCCUCAGCAUUCGCCACACCAUCCUUCUGAGGACCAAGAAAGAAAACCUGAGCCUCUGGCCCCGGCUUCCCACCCCAACCCUGUCAUCUGGUGGGGUCAACAGGACAAGUUUUCCUAACCCAGCAGGGGAGGGAAUUUAUGUCAGUCCCAGUGGUUCUACCAUCCCUUGGCCAACCAGGCAAGAGUGACCCAUGCCCCAGUAAGAAAUCUGGAUGCAUCAGCGUGGGCUGACUUAGGAGCUCAUGGAGUUGCCCCUCAAAGGAAUCUCCUUUUCUCCUGCCUUUUUCAUCUUUGGUAGGCGGCCCUGCUGCCUCCCAGCAGGUGACCACAUGGCCAAGAGGCUGCUCCCCCUCUGAAGGUCUCACCUUACCCUUCUGGGACUCCAGGAACAUCUAAAAGGGAACCCAAACUGCUGUAGUCAUCAAGCCCCUGAGGACUGUCCCAACUGGGGUUCCCCCUAAGCUGGAUCCUAACACUAGGGGGCUCAAAACUGCUUGCUGUCAGCCUCCAGCUCCCAAGAGGAGUCCCUGAGGGAAGACAUGCCUUCCUGCGGCCAGUCUUGCGGGGUCGUGGCUUGCUCUUGGUGAAGCAGAUGUUGUGCUUGGUGGACUUAAAGGACUCCAGCCGCCGCUUCAUGUUCUGCUGGAAGACCUCCUUGUCCUGCCGCUCCUGCGCAUCCUCUGAGAUGAAGUGGCGACUGCAGCUGGCUUUGUACUGGCAAUGACAGCCCCGCCUGGCUAUGAGGAUGGAUGCCUUGGCCUCCCACAAGAACCCCAGGCCACAGCCCCAACAUAUUCACCACAGGACCUGCCAGCCCAGCUUUUCCAGAAUUAACAAUGGAUUGAAAAACAAAACAAAAAAUACAACAGGAACCCAGCCAGAGACCCUGUGUUCUCAGUUCCCUGGGAAAAGCUUCCCUUUAUCCCAGAACUUAUUCCCCCAAACCUGGCCUUCCCCAACCCUUGCCAUCCUUUCCCGAUUCUCUCUGGUUUGAAGGUGACCCUCUGUCUUGUUCUACUACUGUGACAACAUGGGGGACAUUUUCUUUGUACCUCCAUUUAUCUGAGCUUCGCCCACACACCCAGCCUACCUGCCCCCUUCUAGCUACACAGGAUCCUUUCUCCAGCUGGAAUCUCCUAUCUAGCCAUUUCUACAAGAACCACCAUGAUAUCCUGGGCUGCACUUUGAACUUUCAUAACUAUCUCCCCUGACACCCUGGACCUUCUCAGUCCCAAUAAUUCAGGAUCACCCCCAUCAUCUGCUUUUUUUU
rnacentral:lncRNA from 1 species